UCAAUGAGCUCAAGUACCGUUGAAAAUGUUAAUUUAAAAGUAUUGGUGGCAAGUGAUAGUUCUUUUUCAGAUGAGGGAGUAAUGGGAGAUGACGGUGAAACAACAUGGUCAAGUGAAACAAUCAAUAACCAAUCCAAAGAUAAAGACAGCGAUGAUGAAAGCAACAUUGAAGAGUCAUGUAUGACAUCAUAAUAGACUUUAACCAAAAUAUAAUACAUGCACAUGCACAUGCAUGUAUUACAUGUAUGACUGAUAAUAUGAUUCAACGUAACAGAUCAUGAAUCACAACUUUGCCGGAACUUUU